rnacentral:lncRNA from 1 species
CAACAAAUGGGUAUUGGUGAGAGGGGCUAAUACAAGUUGAGCAUCCUUUAUCCAAAAUGCUUGGGACUAGAAGUGUUUCAGAUUUCAGAUUUGUUCAGAUUUUGGAAUGUUUGCAUUAUACUUACCAGUUGAGCAUUUCCCUAAUCUGAAAAUCAGAAAUGUUCCAAUGAACAUUUCCUUUGAGUAUCAUGUUAGUGCUAAAAAGUUUAGAAUUUUGGAACAUUUCAGAUUUCAGAUUCUGGGCUUAGAAAUACUCAGCCUGUGAUCCCAGCACUUUGGGAGGCCGAGGCGGGUGGAUCACAAGGUCAGGAGUUCAAAACUAGCGUGGCCAAGAUGGUGAAACCGUGUCUCUACUAAAAAUACAAAAAUUAGCUGGGCGCAGUGGUAGGCGCCUGUAAUCCCAGCUACUCGGGAGGCUGAGGCAGGAGAAUCACUUGAACCUGGGCAGCAGAGGUUGCAGUGAGCAGAGAUCGCACCACUGCACUCUAGCCUGGACCAUAGAGUGAGACUCCAUAAAAAAAAAAAAAAGAAAAGAAACACUCAAAGGUUCCUCCCCGGGCAGAAGAAAUCACCAUUCCAGCUGAUGUCACCCCAGAGAGAGUUCCAACACACAUUGUAGAUUACUCAGGUAAUGAAUAUCCUCUUGUAGAUGAAGGUGUAGGUUAAUUUAAUAGACUUGAAAAAAGAUACUUACUGAGCUUUUACAAAUGUUGAGAGAGGUGGUCUUUUCUCUGUAGCAGUAAAUGAUC